rnacentral:rRNA from 1 species
CCUACGGGAGGCAGCAGUGAGGAAUAUUGGUCAAUGGGCUUACGCCUGAACCAGCCAAGUCGCGUGAGGGAAGACUGCCCUAUGGGUUGUAAACCUCUUUUGUCAGGGAGCAACGCCGGCUACGUGUAGCCGGACUGAGAGUACCUGAAGAAAAAGCAUCGGCUAACUCCGUGCCAGCAGCCGCGGUAAUACGGAGGAUGCGAGCGUUAUCCGGAUUUAUUGGGUUUAAAGGGUGCGUAGGCGGAUCGUUAAGUCAGUGGUCAAAUUGAGGGGCUCAACCCCUUCCCGCCAUUGAAACUGGCGCUCUUGAGUGGAAGAGAAGUAUGCGGAAUGCGUGGUGUAGCGGUGAAAUGCAUAGAUAUCACGCAGAACCCCGAUUGCGAAGGCAGCAUGCCGGCUUCCGACUGACGCUGAAGCACGAAAGCGUGGGGAUCGAACAGGAUUAGAUACCCGAGUAGUC